UGGGUUGGACGCCCGCCAGCGGCGGUGGGAUGAAAAACCCGCCCGCGGCCGAGCUUACA
rnacentral:snoRNA from 1 species